rnacentral:rRNA from 1 species
AUGGACGAGGACUCGGACAGCGACAGCGAGAGCGAGAGCGACUCGGACAGCGACAACACCCAAGCUCGAACGGUGGACCUAAAUCAUUUGGCGAACAUUCGAACCAGAUCUCAGUACACCAACAAGGACAAGCGACAUGUUUAUAAUGUGCUGUUACAGAAAAAUGGUCGACUAGGUCGGUUGAAGCAUGGAGUGAGCAAGGCCGUGGCACUUCAAUGCAAUAUGUCACGGAGGAGUGUAGUGCGGAUAUGGAAGGAUGGCAUGCUUGGUGGAGGUGUAAACGCUGUGAUCAACAAGAAGAAGAAGCGAUGUGGCCGCAAACGGAUUGAGAUUGACACCGUCGCCAUGGAACAAAUACCACCGCAAGAAAGGGCAACACUUGAAUCCCUUUCGAAGGCUAUGCGCAUGUCCGUUUCAACCCUGCACCCACGUCUGAAAGAGAAGUUUCGGCGACGAGGAUCUCGUCCGUGGUGGCACGGGCCGCGCCCACCGCAGCGCCGACGCCGUUGA